AUUUCAGAUGAUGAUAAUUCUUGGUGCGAUUGUGGCAGCCAUUGUCACUGUAAUCAUUGUCUGGGUGUUCGCAUAAAUACUUUGCGAUGUUCUGGGUAGCCAACAAAUAUGGCUAAUGUUUGGCAAGUGAAUGAAAAUAAGUGAAGCAUCUGGCUCCAGCAGCAGGACUCUUUUGACCAAAGCAACAUAUUUAGUGUAGAUUUGUAGGGAGUGGGGGGAAGGGUGGGUCAGAUGGUUGGAUGAAUGUUUUUUUUGUCAAGGCUGGACGUAGUAAGGGUGGGUGUAUACUCUGUACACAUUUGUGGGCUUUAUAUAUUUGUUCUGCUCUUCAAUGUGUGUAUGUAUGUGUGGGUGUUAGCUUGUGUAUGUAUUGUGUAUAUGUUAAUGUGUAUGAAUUUUGUAGAGAUGUAUACUUAUGUUUAUACUCUCAGAAGUAUUACUAAUAUAAUAAUUAUGGAUAUGUUAAUGUAAUUUGCAAUUGUUAUCUGAGAUCUCCCUGCCCCUCCCCUUCUGUGAAUGUUUUAGGAACUCUAUGGUGUAUCUAUGUUGCUGCAUGUGUCGUCUUUCCAUUAUUUCUCUCAUCAUUUUGUUUUCUCUCACACUUCUGUGCAUUAUCUGCAUGUAUGCCUGCAUUCCUUCUCCUUGCUCUCCAGAUACCUAUCCUCUCCUAAUACCUUACAUUUCUCUGGCACAACCAUGCUAUGCCCACUCACAACAUAGUAAAGAGAAGCCACUAAGCUGGCUUUUAAUGUAUUUAAUUAUAGUUUGUGAAAAUUUGUAUAAAUAAAAUUGUAAAAAAAACAUAAAAUAAACAAAAUAAAUAAAAUAAAUAAUUUAUGUAUAAAAUAAAAUCCACUUAAAAAUGGUGUGUUAGUUAUAAUAUCACCAUUAAAAAAUAUAUAUUGAAUAUUUCAUUUGGUUAGUAUAUGAUCUAUCACAGCAAUUUGUAAACACUGCUGGUGUAUGUGGUUGAAAUGGGGUUAUUUUUCCAUAUUAGUCAUAUAACUGAAAUUAUUUUAGCCAAUUCUUUUCUGAUAGCUUAAGAAAUAACUUAGAUAUCUAUUGGCUCAUGUAUUUAAAUCAAUGAUGAAUGUGCUGUCAUAAACCUGGACACUAACAUUAUUUAUUUCCACAUAAAUAUUGUUUUAUAGUGCUGCUAUUGCCAUUAAUUUAUUUUCUAAAUUAAUUUUCCCUUCAUGUAAAUAGUUUCUGUAAAGUCAAUUUUUCCCUCUCCUCCCCUUAUUCAUUCCCCUCCCCCCUUUUAUUUUUGUCCUUACCUGUUUUUGGCAGUUGCAAUUAUUCUUCAGUGUAAUUAGAUAUUUACACAAGUAUGGCUCAAAAUACUUGUUCAUGAUGUACAACACAAUCUUAAAAUAGUAUUCUCUUACUUUGAUGAUGAAAUAAGAGAUUAUUAUUAUUAUUAUUAUUAUUAUUAUUCAAAGUAAACUCUUUAAAUUAGUGUAUGGUGGAUUUCCUAGCAGCUUCCAUACCUCUUAAUUUAAUAAAAUUGUGGUUAAAAAUUAAAAACGUAAAAAAAUCCUGAACUAUUAAGAUAUACUUUAUAGGCUGUUUGAAAAUAAAAUUUUGAAUGAAAUCUCUCUUCAAUUAUUUUUUAUUUGUUUAAAUUGUUUCAAAUUCCUAACUGUAGCUUGUGUCAAUGCUUCAUGAUGCAAUCUGAAUCUCGAAAAAAAAAAAAAGAAAAAAAAACCCAAAACCACCAAUGAUUCCCCCUUCCCUUUGUAUAUCUGUAUAUGAAUGUGAGGAAGACCUACUGGCAGCACUUGGUUGGUGUUUUUGUUUAGUCUACUUACACAAACCAACUUACCUGUCUUGUUAUGAAAGAAAAGUACACUCUUUUAGGAGCCUUGGAUUAUUUAUUUGUAUUUAUCAAUUAACUUCUGUUAAUUAUCCUCUCUGACUUCCUUUUUAAUGUUUAACUCUAUAAGCUGCUGAAAUGGGAACCAGAUCUACUCAGUACACCAGUUGAUGGUGUGAGAUGUGUACAGCUCUCAGCCGAAAUCUGGUGCAGAUUAAAUUCAUCAAGCAAUUCACUACCUUUAUGAAAAUUUUAAAAAAUAAUAAAAAAGAAAAAAAAAAUAUUGGAGAAAAACAAAUGGGCUCUGUAUCUUUUAUAUAAAAGAUAAUCAGUUUCCAAAUCUAUUUAGCUCUUAUAGAUUACUGAUGAGAGAGAGAGCGAGAGAGAGAAAGAGAGAGAGAGCAACAAAAAAAAAAACCCAAACCAUCUAAUGAAGCCUUUAAAUGCUUCCUUUUCACUUUCAUACAUGUUAAGUAUUUCUUAAUAAGUCAACACUGCUUGAGGAGAUAGUGAGAAAAGACCUAUCAGCCAAGAUGGUUGCUUAAUGCCUAAUACAGCAGGAAAGCUAUAUUCACACUUCCUCUUCAUUUAAUCUAUCUUUCUCUGUUCCUUUUUAUUAUAACAGAGCCUUUCUUUGUUUCCCUUUUUCCAAAAGAAAGUUUAAUUUCCCUUUUAUCAUUUUGGCUGUUGCCCAGAAAUCUCACAGAUAUUACACAAAUCUCUCCCUCCAAAUAAGCAGCAAAAUCAAUUUGAAAUCUCUUAUCUGAUUUUCAUUUUAUCCUUUAUUAUUUUUUUUUUUAUUCAUCUGUAUAUUUCACUUCUGGGUUGUUUAUUUUUUUUUUUUUUCUUCAAUUCUCAACAAAAUAAAACUUGAAAUCAAAAAUAUGCCGCUGUAAUAAAUAUUCAAGUCUUGUUUUGUAUGAGAAAAUUACCAGAAAAAAAAAUAAAAUAAAAAAUCCUUUAUGUUUAUAUAUAUAUAUAUAAUAUAUAUAUAUUUUUCUUGUUGUUCUCCAACAUUUUUCCGAGUUAGGAUUGUUGGUUGUCACUAAUUUUGAAAUGGGUCUUUUAAAUAACUUCAUUCCAAGUCAGUAGCCCUCUGUUUAUUUGAAAGAUUCCAUUAAUAUUGUUAUCUAAUUCAUAGCAUUAACAUUUUGUUUUGACUAUUUAUCCUAAUGUUCACUUAUAUAAGCUUAUUUCUCCUCCUUUAAUCUCAUUUUAAUUUUUUCCUCUCUUUUUAUUGUUUGGGCCUUAUACAGUGUAUGAUGGAUGUUGUCUGUAUUCAUUUAGAGGUCCCUUGGAAAACAGUGUAAAUUUGGGAGAAUUAUUUUAAAGGUUAAAGUUACACUAAUGAAUGGGAAGCCCGUCACUGAAAUUGAUUGUUGUCAUGACCUUUUUCUACUGCCCUUAUAUUGGCAAAAUUAGAUUAUUAUAUUAUUAUUCAUGUGUGUGUAUGAGUGUGUGAGUGCUUGUGUGUGUCUGUAUAAAUAUAUACAUAUAUGUACAUACAUAUAUAAAUAAACAUUUAGAUAUCCUUAGUAAAUUAAUACCAGUUCUGUGUGUGCGUGUGUGUGUGUACAUAUGUAUAUGGUGAUUAUUAUUACUGUUAAGGACAAUGGCAGUCCUGCUACUGUAUUUCUAAAUACAAUUGUUGAGUGAGUUUGACCAAAUAUGGACAAUAUAGCCUGUCUCCUUAAUAGCCAGACGAACACACUCAUUACACUCACUGAUACACACAUUCUCUCAUACAACUCAAUGCAGAUGGACACGUCCCUUGCUUGAAAAAGUUUGACUUUUAUGGGGUUUUGUUUUUCCAUUUUAGUUGUUUUUAAGUUAUUUUCCCUUCCAACUAUUUCAGUGGGGGCACCCCUGUUAUGAUGCACAAGUUAACUUGUUAUCUUAGACUUAUGACUUGUAGUUGUUCAUGAAUAAAAAGAAAUGUAAUAAAAGUU